rnacentral:rRNA from 1 species
UACGUAGGGGGCAAGCGUUGUCCGGAAUCAUUGGGCGUAAAGAGCGCGUAGGCGGUCCGGUAAGUCGGUUGUGAAAACUGGGGGCUCAACCCUCAGAGGCCGACCGAUACUGUCGGGCUAGAGUCCGGAAGAGGCGAGUGGAAUUCCUGGUGUAGCGGCGAAAUGCGCAGAUAUCAGGAGGAACACCAAUGGCGAAGGCAGCUCGCUGGGACGGUACUGACGCUGAGGCGCGAAAGCGUGGGGAGCAAACAGG